UACGUAGGUGGCAAGCGUUGUCCGGAUUUACUGGGCGUAAAGAGCGCGCAGGCGGUCGUGCAAGUCGCGUGUGAAAGCCCCCGGCUCAACUGGGGAGGGUCACGCGAUACUGCUCGACUCGAAGGCAGGAGAGGGAUGUGGAAUUCCAGGUGUAGCGGUGAAAUGCGUAGAUAUCGGGAGGAACACCAGUGGCGAAGGCGACUUCCUGGCCUGUUCUUGACGCUGAGGCGCGAAAGCUAGGGUAGCAAACGGG
rnacentral:rRNA from 1 species